UACGUAGGGUGCAAGCGUUAAUCGGAAUUACUGGGCGUAAAGCGUGCGCAGGCGGUGAUGUAAGACAGAUGUGAAAUCCCCGGGCUCAACCUGGGAACUGCAUUUGUGACUGCAUCGCUGGAGUGCGGCAGAGGGGGAUGGAAUUCCUGGUGUAGCAGUGAAAUGCGUAGAUAUCAGGAGGAACACCGAUGGCGAAGGCAGGUCUCUGGGCUGAAACUGACGCUCAUGCACGAAAGCGUGGGGAGCAAACAGG
rnacentral:rRNA from 1 species